AUGAUACUGGCCUCAAGCUCCUCCAUUUUUCAUCUGGCUCCAACUCACAUGAUAUCUUCUUGGAAUGGUAUGGUAUGGUACUGGUACUGGUACCUACCCACCAAACCACAUGCAGCAGCAGCCUGCCUGAUUGAUGAUGAUCCUGCUGCUAGUGCUAGCUAUCACACACACAUGAAUCUCAUGCAUGCAUGCAUGCAUGAUCCUAACAGGAGUGCCAGGGAUCAGCAGCUGCCGCCACAGGAUGUGAUCUGCAUCUCGGUCUUGCAGCCCUUGUGUAACUUGGCUUUGGCUAGCACUUGUACCAGUGCACACACACAUGCUUGCACACAUAUGGGGUGCCGACGGAGGACCACUGGCUGCAAGAGAUGUGCAAUUUGGUGCACUGGGCCUGGAGGUAGCUUAGCUGCAUUCAUGGGAGGGGAGUAG
rnacentral:rRNA from 1 species